rnacentral:rRNA from 1 species
UACGUAGGUGGCGAGCGUUGUCCGGAUUUACUGGGCGUAAAGGGAGCCUAGGCGGACUUUUAAGUGAGAUGUGAAAUACCCGGGCUCAACUUGGGUGCUGCGUUUCAAACUGGAAGUCUAGAGUGCAGGAGAGGAGAAUGGAAUUCCUAGUGUAGCGGUGAAAUGCGUAGAGAUUAGGAAGAACACCAGUGGCGAAGGCGAUUCUCUGGACUGUAACUGACGCUGAGGCUCGAAAGCGUGGGGAGCAAACAGGAUUAGAUACCCUGGUA